AAUGCUUGUCAGCUGAAUCUGCAGAGCCACGGAAAUCAUGGCUUUGUAAGUCCCUCUGGGCCCACAUCUGCAUGUCCUUGAAACCCCAGAGAGGCCCUUCAUACCUUCUUGGGUUCAGGCACGACUUGGGUUUCUACACCACCUCCAGGCAGAUGUCCCCUUCCUCUUACAGAGGAAGUGGUGUGGCAGAUGAGAGGAGAGGCAUAGCGAUGUCAAUCAACUUGUCGAAGGUCACCCGCAUACAGCUGAGUAUGGUAUUGGAGAUUUGAACCCAGACUCCUCUGUAACUAUUGUGUGUCCCGCCAGGAAGCCUGCCAGCGUCUCACCCGCGCAAAACCGGGGCCAAGAUUGCCACCCUCUAUCGAAAUGGAGGAGGAGAACUGAUAAAACAUUCACACUUCGGUGGUGCUUGCCAAGACUUGAAGCAGGGAUGGUGACCUUGGUGUUCUCUCCAGAGCGUGGGCCUGGAGGGCUGUGUUGAGAGGGAGUCAGAGGCUGUCUGGGCUCCGUACUAAAGUGCUGUCUGCUGGCGGCACUGACUGGGAGUACGGGUGCUCUCCUAGCUUGAAGCGUUCUGCCUCCAGAGACAUCUGCUUCAGAACUGAGGACAGAGCCUUAAGUAAAAGGAUGCAUCUUGGCUGUUUGAGUUAGACAUCACGUAGCUGGAGAGAGAAGGUGUCGUAACUCCACACUGUAGAGGCCACCACCGCCUACUUAUGGCCUCUCCCCCUUCCCAUCUCCCUCCCCCUUCCAGCCAGACACAUAAAGAUCCCAAAUCCCAAACUGCAGUUUUAUUAUUUUUUAAUAAACUUUAUUCUAUAUUACAAAUAGGUUUUUUUUGUUCUGAACUGCAAAAUAGGAAUGCCUUAUAUUUACAUACACAGGUAUACAAUUAAUUAUAACAAAGGUACAGAAGCUUGCCUUUACCAAGUUACAACUGGGCUCCAAUUUAAAUAGCAUAGGUUUCCUUUUUAAAAACUUUUUUUUAAAAUCUUUUUUUUUUUAAUCUUACUAGGAUACUCUUCUUUAAAAAUCAAAACCAGAAGACCCCUUCCUCUAAUAGAUUUCAUCCACCUAUCUUUGAGGCUCAUUAUAACACUGUUGUCUAAAGAUAUGUUUUGCUUUGUUCUAACAAAGGGUCAGUGUUCAAGGUGGGAGCUUUAUGGAAACUGAAGUGGGGCGCAGCGGGAAGGGGGUGACUGGAGCAGGAAUGACCACCCUUCGGUGGCUUCUUUCUGGUGCUCAAAGGUCCCUGCCUGUUCUUUAAACCACCCAUCCAUCUUUCCUUUUCCUUCCCUUUCCUCUAGUGUUUGAGACUUCACUCUGGGUCAUCUGACCAGGCCAAACUCCUCUCCCUCCACGCCUUGGCUCACUAAGCCACUGUCUGUUGCGGUACCCUGGAGUUGCUGGUUGCUAUGGUAACAUGGCAGGACCCUGAUGGAAGAAAUAGGCUGGUCUCUACAAGCUAAAGUGGGGAGGAGGGCAGCUGCAUCCAAUUCUUCCUUCCCAUCUCAGGGCCUGGGGUUCUUGUUCUUGGUCAGCACAGCCAACAUGUGACUAAGCCAGACCCUGGGCCUCAAGGACACCAGGCCCAGGCAGGCAGUGAUGGAGAGGAGGGUCAUCCACUCUAAAACACAAAGCCAUUGGUUUCCAAAUGGAAACAAGAUUCUUUGAGAUAAAGAAACCGGUGGAAGAUGAGCUGCAUACACCUAUUUGCCAUGAACGUUUGCAUUCUCGGGGAAGAGGACCUGGGUCCUUCCACGACCCAUCCCUAACAGGCUCUCCCUGCAGUUUGGGGGAAGUUGACUGAUGAGAACUGUGUAGGAUUCGCCAACACCAGGGGCAGCCCGGAAAGCCAGGACUGGACAGCAGUAACAGAGGCGGAGGGGAGGGAAGGUGGGCUUGCCGACCAAGGACCCCCGGGCCCAUGGCCCACCUCACUAUCUCUGCCAAUACAAACAGAAAUCUAUUUUUAUUUAUUAGGGAUUUUGUUUUGUUUUGUUUUGUUUUGUUUUGCUUUGGGGUAGUCACUGGUCUACUCAAGAAAUUUAAUUGGGACUCUAAUGAGUAGGUAUUAUUUUUAUAAGCCAAAAUCCUAUAUAUUUUAUAAAGUUGGAUACUCCCCCUAAUAAAACAAAUAAUUGUAUUUGGGAGCAAAGAUUUAUAGUUACAAAAAAAAUGGUCUCCCUUGAAUGUCUGAAACUUUCACCGCAGAGCGGCCUUUCCGAACGGGAGGAAGGGUCCUUUAGUUUCGCAGUAGAGGGUCUCCUCCGAGCACCAUGAGGAGAAGAGGCUCGGGGUGGGGCAGCCUCUCUCAGGAGAGGCCUCUUCAGCGUCCCUUGUGGCUGUACCUCAGCUUCCCACUCUGUGAAAUAAGACUCUUGUUUGUUCCACCCGUGGGGGUGAGGUGAUGGGAGGAGAAGGGAGCAGCAUUGUGGGCUCCAGCCAUCGAAGAGGCAGGGGAAGCACCAAGAAUAUUAGCAGCCAUGGAGGAUGCUUCCCCCGGCACGUCCACACCCGGGGAAUACCCUCCUGCCACUGGCCCUGAGGGUCUCCUCAUCCCCUUGGAAGUUACAGGUAAACCGCGUUGUUUCUCUCCUCCCCCCAGUAAUUGGGACUUUACACCUGGGCUUCCUCCUUUAUCUUGUACUCUUAAAAUACACAAACAAAAGAUAAACAACUGCAAAUCCCAAAUAAACACUCCACAUACAGUAUAAAGAAAAAGGGAGGGGCUGAGGGGUCGAGGCCCUCAGGAGCCCGUCCUAUGAGCUGACAGGAAGAGGGAGGGGCUGAGAGGAGAUCUUGGUGAGAAUUGGGAGCAAGAAGAAAGGCUCAGAAGGAGUCAGAUCUGCCUGGAGCAGGGUCCUCUCUGAGCGCUGGUGGAGACUGUGGUACCUGGAGGUUAUACACUCACAGAAAGGCCUCUCAGAGGCCUCUGGGCUGGGACCGCUCACUGGGGUGGCCCAUUCCUGAAGCGCUGUGGUCCAGGACCGAGAAAGGAGUGUCUACGGCCUUCUGCCUGCAGAGUGCCUCCGUGCGUCUCCCCUCCCUCCUGGGCUCGCUGUGAGGCAGGAAAGUUUGUCCUUGAUUAGUAAUGAUCAACCUUAACAUUCACUAGGUUAAGUAUUUGACUUUGCAUCCUGUAAUGCCAAAAGAAGUGCCCCCUUAGUCCUGAGAAAGAAGACAGGUGAAAAAUGAGGCUUUCCCUUUUAGGUCAAAGCAGGGGUUGCUAAUCCCUGGACUCAUCCCAGCAUUGUUUAGGAUUCUGGAAACAUCAGCAGGACUCGGCUCUUAGAGGAGAGGUCAUUUGGGAAAUCAUCACUUGUGGCUUCUCUUGUGGGACACCCACAGGGCCUUGGUUGGACCAGGGAGCCCUGACCGCUCAUGGAGGCAGAAUUGGGAGGGUGGGGGGCCCCAGGGCCGUCCCAGAGGGCAAGACUGUGAGGGCUGAGCUAUCCACUGAGGGGCUAGGCAACUCCUGUACUGUAGUGGACACAUGGCCUUGGGCCAGAGGCUGCACGCAGGAGGCGGGCAAGAGGGACAAGGGGGCACAUGCCUCUGUGCUGGGGGAGGGGCAAACUCAGAAGCCAGACAUGCAAUGGGGACAAGAGAGGGAGGAUCUGGGGGGAGUUGGGGUGGUGGGCACUGGGACAGGACACCGACAUUAACUUUGGGCUGGGAGCUGAGAGCUGAGGCUGAGGGAGGAAGGUCAGAGACCUCACCUGUGGACAACUCACGCUUCUGCCUGGGCACAGUCCUGGCCAGUCUGCCUCAAACUUUGGGACCUGUUUAGGACGACUUCUCUCUCUCAAGCAUCUUGGGCCCCACUCACCGACCCACAGGCUCACAAGAGGGAGGCUGUGGGGCUGCCUCUUGGUGUGCACGUCACUCUGGAGGUGUAAACAUAUCUUGGCCUGUGGGACAUUCAGGUUAUCCUCAGUCCCCAAAUUUAAAACCACAUUGAAAGAAGGCGAAAAAAAAAAAAUUCCUGAGGAAGUAACGGACACAACAGCCAACUUCACUUACUGGCACCACUUGCAGUUACCAAGGAAUGUCAGGGUCUCUCCUUACAAGGAAGGACAAAGAAUGGAAAAGCACGUCCCUGGGGAGACUUGUGCCCAGCAGAAACGACCAGCCUACAGCUACCUUUCUCAGCUUCUAUCUGUCCAUUCUUUUAAAUUCGGGACCCCCAAGCUCCCCACCUGCCCACCACCAACCGCCUUCAGCCCCUCUCCCUCCAACAGUCAAGCUCCCCACCCAACCCCGCUCAGUUAUUCCAACUGCCUGAUCUCCUGGUACCAUUUUGGACCCUAGUGGUCUCAAUGGGUGGAGGAUGCAGGAGGUGAAAAUGAAGGGGGAGGUGAGAGAAAGGGCCUCUUCUCCCCUGCUCUGCCCAGGACUCGACUCAAGGAAUCAAAUAAAGCUUCCACCUUAAACAGAACUGUGACCCUGCAUGUUCACCGUGACAGAGGGAGGGGGAGGGGCCCUCCCUUCCACAGGACCCCGUCUGCCCCAUUCCCUUCUCUGGUGCGUGCUGGCCCACAUGUGGCCAGGGCAGCUCUCGGGGUCUCUCACCUGCCAGGAGGAGAUGGCGGAUGCCAAGGGGAGUUUUAGGAAGAAGAUUUAGGGGAAAGAACAGCUUUUUGAAACUGCUGCCUUGUCUUUACUUUGAAAUGCAUCACACGUGCACCAACGAUGUAAACGAAAAAAAAGGGAAAACAAACAAAUAGCCAAAGGAAAGAAUUUCUACAGGCAAGAUGAGUCGUGGCUCAGCGUGACUGUGCUAGUUCUCU
rnacentral:lncRNA from 1 species